GAAGGAAGUGGGGGAGGAAGUCCACCCCCCCCCCCAGCCAGGAAUUCCUGAAACCUAACGGUGGGGUGCGAGGGACCUCAGGAGCAGCGGGUGACCCGGGCAGGGGGCGCUGAGACCACCUGCUCCAGGUCGCCAUCCCACUGCCCCCUGCCCCCACUCCUAAGCAGCUUCCCGGCCCCCAGGGAAGGUCUGGGGUGCUCCGUCCAGUGGCCCCAAGAAGCCGUGCCUGUUCCAAGGACUUUGGAAAGACCUGGAAUACAGCCCCGAAAUGACAACUCCUAGGUUCACAAAUUCUCUAGAGUUUUUUUUUUUUUUUUUUCAUUAAAAACCACGAAGAGCGCCCAGUUCUUAAGGGAACCGUUAGAGCCG
rnacentral:lncRNA from 1 species